rnacentral:rRNA from 1 species
AAUGAACGCUGGCGGCGUGCGUAACACAUGCAAGUCGAACGAGAAAUUCCGGGCUUGCUCGGGAGAGUAAAGUGGCGAACGGGUGAGUAACGCGUGGGUAACCUACCCCUGAAUCCGGAAUAACUUCGCGAAAGCGAGGCUAAUACCGGAUAUUGUCACAGGGACUGUGGUCCUUGUGAUGAAAGAUGACCUCUUCACGAAAGUUGUCGUUCAGAGACGGGCCCGCGUACCAUUAGCUUGUUGGUAGGGUAACGGCCUACCAAGGCGAUGAUGGUUAGCUGGUCUGAGAGGAUGACCAGCCACACUGGCACUGAAACACGGGCCAGACUCCUACGGGAGGCAGCAGUGAGGAAUUUUGCGCAAUAGGGGAAACCCUGACGCAGCAACGCCGCGUGAGUGAAGAAGGCCUUCGGGUCGUAAAGCUCUGUCAAGUGGGAAAAAAGCUUUCUGGUGAAUAGCCAGGAAGACUGAUGGUACCAUUGAAGGAAGCACCGGCUAACUCCGUGCCAGCCGCCGCGGUAAGAC